rnacentral:lncRNA from 1 species
GGAGAGGUCUGCCGCGUUCAGGACGCUGUGCCGAAGCACGGUUGCAGACAGUGCUCCAUGUGGGUGCAUAGAAAGAUCAACUCUUUAAUCUGGCCCAGAUCUGCAUGAGCACUUAUAUGGUAGGAUUGAGAAGAAGGAACAAGAAGAUGAAUGAGGCAGGACUGCAUCUUUAAUGGGAACAAACUUGGCUGGAAAUGAAACUGAGACAUUACAAUCACUGCUCUGUGGAAUUCUAAGCCUGACUAUCCAUGCUCUACUACGAACACUGAAUGUUUCCAUCAUGAUGGUUCCUGCUACUCUAAAGUUUACGGAGGAUGAACAGCAGUUUAUUCACUUUCAAGGAACACAUGAAAAUAAGAAUUAAUUUUUAAACCUGAAAUCAAUUAGAGAGUUGAGCAAUCAACAUAAGCUUACUGUUAUUAUAUAAAAUUCUUGAAGGUUUGAGAGAGGGGCUAACUUUUGGGAACUGUCUUACAGAAUGUAGUAGAAAAUUGUGUAUUUAAUACUGUAAACAGUAGCAGAAAAUAUAAUAUCUAGG